rnacentral:rRNA from 1 species
UGCACUUGCCGCGUUUCUAUACAUGCAAGUCGAGCGGACAGAUGGGAGCUUGCUCCCUGAUGUUAGCGGCGGACGGGUGAGUAACACGUGGGUAACCUGCCUGUAAGACUGGGAUAACUCCGGGAAACCGGGGCUAAUACCGGAUGGUUGUUUGAACCGCAUGGUUCAAACAUAAAAGGUGGCUUCGGCUACCACUUACAGAUGGACCCGCGGCGCAUUAGCUAGUUGGUGAGGUAACGGCUCACCAAGGCAACGAUGCGUAGCCGACCUGAGAGGGUGAUCGGCCACACUGGGACUGAGACACGGCCCAGACUCCUACGGGAGGCAGCAGUAGGGAAUCUUCCGCAAUGGACGAAAGUCUGACGGAGCAACGCCGCGUGAGUGAUGAAGGUUUUCGGAUCGUAAAGCUCUGUUGUUAGGGAAGAACAAGUACCGUUCGAAUAGGGCGGUACCUUGACGGUACCUAACCAGAAAGCCACGGCUAACUACGUGCCAGCAGCCGCGGUAAUACGUAGGUGGCAAGCGUUGUCCGGAAUUAUUGGGCGUAAAGGGCUCGCAGGCGGUUUCUUAAGUCUGAUGUGAAAGCCCCCGGCUCAACCGGGGAGGGUCAUUGGAAACUGGGGAACUUGAGUGCAGAAGAGGAGAGUGGAAUUCCACGUGUAGCGGUGAAAUGCGUAGAGAUGUGGAGGAACACCAGUGGCGAAGGCGACUCUCUGGUCUGUAACUGACGCUGAGGAGCGAAAGCGUGGGGAGCGAACAGGAUUAGAUACCCUGGUAGUCCACGCCGUAAACGAUGAGUG